AUUUCUUUAGUAUUAACCAGUACAAUUGACUUCCAAUCAAUUAGUUUCGGUACACUCCGAAAAGAAAUA
rnacentral:tRNA from 1 species